rnacentral:rRNA from 1 species
CCUACGGGAGGCUGCAGUGGGGGAUAUUGCACAAUGGGGGAAACCCUGAUGCAGCGACGCCGCGUGGGCGAAGAAGUAUUUCGGUAUGUAAAGCCCUAUCAGCAGGGAAGAAGAAAUGACGGUACCUGAGUAAGAAGCACCGGCUAAAUACGUGCCAGCAGCCGCGGUAAUACGUAUGGUGCAAGCGUUAUCCGGAUUUACUGGGUGUAAAGGGAGCGCAGGCGGCACGGCAAGCCUGAUGUGAAAGCCCGCGGCCCAACCGCGGGACUGCAUUGGGAACUACCGGGCUGGAGUGCCGGAGAGGUAGGCGGAAUUCCUAGUGUAGCGGUGAAAUGCGUAGAUAUUAGGAGGAACACCAGUGGCGAAGGCGGCUUACUGGACUGUAACUGACGUUGAGGCUCGAAAGCGUGGGGAGCAAACAGGAUUAGAUACCCCAGUAGUC